UACAGAGGGGGCAAGCGUUGUCCGGAUUUACUGGGCGUACAGCGCGCGCAGGCGGAACUGGACGUGCCGUGUGACAGACCACCGCUCACCGGUGGAGGGCCACGGUACACGACAGUUCUGGAGGCAGGGAGAGGGAUGUGGAAUGCCCGGUGGAGCGGUGAAAUGCGUAGAGAUCGGGCGGAACACCAGCGGCGAAGGCGGCAUCCGUGGCCCUGACCUGACGCUGAGGCGCGAGAGCGUGGGGAGCAAACUGG
rnacentral:rRNA from 1 species